CCUACGGGGGGCAGCAGUGAGGAAUAUUGGUCAAUGGGCGCGAGCCUGAACCAGCCAAGUCGCGUGAGGGAGGACGGCCCUACGGGUUGUAAACCUCUUUUGCCGGGGAGCAACGGGCGUCACGUGUGGCGCCACUGAGAGUACCCGGAGAAAAAGCAUCGGAUAACUCCGUGCCAGCAGCCGGGGUAAUACGGAGGAUGCGAGCGUUAUCCGGAUUUAUUGGGUUAAAAGGGUGCGUAGGCGUAUCGUGAAGUCAGUGGUCAAAUUGAGGGGCUCAACCCCUUCCCGCCAUUGAAACUGGCGUUCUUGAGUGGAAGAGAAGUAUGCGGAAUGCGUGGUGUAGCGGUGAAAUGCAUAGAUAUCACGCAGAACCCCGAUUGCGAAGGCAGCAUGCCGGCUUCCGACUGACGCUGAAGCACGAAAGCGUGGGGAUCGAACAGGAUUAGAUACCCCUGUAGUC
rnacentral:rRNA from 1 species